AGUGGAGGCAAGCAUAGCUUGCUGGAGGUCUCUGCUUACCUGAGUACUUGCAGAGAUAUUCUGGCAUGCGCUCGGAUUCAUUCCGUCCCGUGCGUUGGUGACUUCCUCCUCUCUCCUCUGCGCCCUUCUCAAGACAAGUGCGGGGCAAAUUGUCUCUCCCAGCGCCUGGAGCCUGCAGCCUCACUAUGAGGAGGAGGAGGAGGAGGAGGCAGUGAACCCAUCCCAGGGCAAGGCAAUGGGUGAAGUGGGCAUCUGCCUAAAUCCCACCUGGCCACACACCUCAGAGCUGGAACAUGCAAGAUUUUGUUGAUGGGACCAAUAAUCAGAGCACAGUGUAAUCAGCCCCCUGGGAUGUCUGAGGCAAGCAGAAACUACUGGUUUCUUUCACAAAGCACAAAGCUGAUGUCUGAGUCGGCAUGUUUGAUAACAAACGUGGUUUCUCAGAGCCCCUUUGUUAUCAGGUUGUGCUGAGGAGGAGCACACCAGGACACGAUGAUGCUGACAUCCAGAUGAGCACAGAAGUGAUAACAAAGCCCAGCAGGACAGUUUGUUCACUUCUCCCUCCAGCAAGGGCAUUGCUGGUGGUCUUAUCUCUUGCAAAGCACAAACCAGAGCAGCCAGGAGCCUUGCAUAGUUUUCCUGGGCUCCCUGCUGGAAGCACCCCAUGAACGAGGUGCCCAACCCCAGGGCAUCAGGCCUGCAAGCAUCCCACCCUGAUGGUUGGGAGAAACUGCAGGAGUGGCAGCAAGGACAUUGGGAAGGGAAGUUGGUGAUACAGCAUUUGGGACUGCAGACUUUCAGAAUGCACAGACCCAAGCUUGAAGUGUGAGGGACUCACAACUCCAUAUCAUGGGUAACCAGAGACCUGGAAGAACAAACCCAGAGAUGGUGCCAUACCCCAAAAUGAUCCUUUCCAAACCUGAGUGACAGACAUCCUCUCUUAUAGGGCCACCCAACUGGGAUAUCACCAUCCUUCCCAGGGUGUUCAUUCCAUCACAAACAGCUUUCAGGCUCUGGUCAUCAGGCAGAUUGUCCAGCUUUGGCAAUUCCAAGCCAUGUUCACAAGACACGGGCUAAUUUCUGAUCAAUUCUCACCAACUGAAUCCAGCUCUGCUAGAUCUUGUUACAAUGAGAGGGGAGAAGAGAUGGCAGUUGGACCACUUGCUGUUGAGGUCUUGGAUGUUGCAAAAGACUUUAUUCUGUCCUAUCUCCGGCCCAGACUGUUUUGCUGAGAUCUCAUCCCAUCCCUUCUCCUCCCUGCACAGAUAUACUCCAGCCAGGCUCCAUUUCAAAUCUCUCCUGGGUUGCUGGUUUCAAAGCUUUCCAAAGAGUAUCAUCAUCCAGGAGACAGAUGUCUAGGACUACUGGGCUUCCUUGGGGGAAAGCAGCACAGAGGAUGGUUUUGUGGUAGCAUCUUUGCACCAAGCCCUGCUUAAAAUGUAGACAGUGAGCUGGAAGCAGCAAAGAAAUGUUUAUGGAAUUGCUUUCACGGGCACUGUGCAUGUGGUGAUAGGUUUAUAAAUUAGGUCAUACCAUUUCCUGAAAUGUAUGUGCAACGUUCUGGAUAUUUAAUGGCAUAAAGACGUAAUUAGCUGCAGCUUUGGAAAACAGCGUCACCUUGAUUUGAAGGAAACUGUUAAAUAAGAUUGGGUUACCAUGCUGAGCAACCCACUGCAAAGAUACAAUCUGAGGAGGGAACCUGACCCUGCCAGGAUUUCCUCUGCAGUGUGUUUGCAUUGUAUAUGCAUCUAAUCUGGAGCAAAUAUCUACAUUUCUCUGUACCCCAUUCAGACCUAAAGGAAAAAAAAGUAAGCUGAGUAGCUUCACUGAAUGCUAAAAUAGAAGAAAUUUGCUGCAGGAAGGAAAUUUUAAGGUUAUGAUCUGCAUGGUCCCAGGUGCAUUUUUAAAGCAUCUGAAAUGUUAGAAGUCUCCUAUGUCCUCCAAGAACCUUGAGAAGAGAGAGAAAAUGCUGCAUAGCAAAGGUCUUUUGGAAGAUGGAAUGUGAAAACAGAUUAAAUAUAAGAUUUGGGAUCCCAAUGACCCCUACGUGUUUUUCAGUCAACAGCAAAAUACCGUGAGAGACUUCAGUCUCCUUCAUGUAACCAGCAAACCCCGAGGUAUCCUGAGACACCAAACCACUCUGGGUCUUCUAAACUACCCAACCACUUGUCCCCUUAUCUUUUGACCAACAAGGCUUAGUUUUCAGAGGAAGUGAAUGAGAUAUUUUAACAGGGUAAGCCAAGGCUGGUGGGAGAUGCAGAAUAGAUGCCCAUAUCCUGAGGUCACAUCCCCGUGCUGAAGGUAUGGCUACACACCAUACAGAAGUGUUUUGAGACCUCCAAAAUCAGCAGAAGUGCUAAGUGACAGGGCACCUAGAGCAGACAACUCACUGCAUUGACUGCUGACAAUGAGCUGACAGUGACACUUCCAGCAAAUAAUAAAUGGCUGAGAAAGAGGAAUUUGAAAUGCAAUGCCACUGAUGAGCCAAUGAGCAUGGGCACCUGGAGGGCACUGUCUCUUCUCCAUUUAGGAAUCACAGCUUUGCUUUUGGGCCCUCUUGACCCAAAAAGAAAACCCCAAUUAUGUACUAAUACAGAAACUGAGCAGUCUACUCUGUAGAGAAAUGUGUUGACAAAAAAUAUUGCUUUCAAAAGAAAUGUUCUUUAUUUUUUCAAGAGAGAAGGAAACCAGAUAAUUUUUCAGGGCCAGGAGAAGAAAACAAAAACAAAAACAAAAACACAAUAACAACAUCAGAAUAUCUUUGUUUUGUAAUGCUUGAAAAUAACUCUCAGGAGUCAAGGAGAAUGGUGAUAAAAAUGAGAAAUGUUGAAAAUGGGAAGGAGGGAAGGAAUGAGAGGGCAGGGUGCAGGCUUGUAGGAGGAGCUGCAAUUACUUGACAGAAAAACAGGGGUCUGCUGAAUCUGUAGGGUGUUUCAUUUACAGUCCUUUGGUCUGGAGAAGCACUGAACUUACACUGAACCCCAUCCCCGAGGUGAAACCUUCCCUCUCCCACCUAUGCAGCUCAGGCUCCCAAGAAGCACUGUUUCAUUCCCCCUCUCUCCCCUCCAUCCAUCUCAAUAUCCAUGUUCCCAAGUUGCCUGAUGUGCCGUUUAUGACAGAAAUAACCUGCCUUGGCACUGACACUUGAAUUUCACUUAAGGUUCGUCGCGUUAUUAAUGACAAGAUCAAUAUUGCCAAAGCCGCAGUAAGAGCUCUCGCCAUCCAUCCGCCUCCCACCCUCCCCUCCGAGGCGCUCCAUGUUUUAAUGCUCCAUCUUCUUUCAAGGGUAUGGGCUCAGCAUGGGAAGGAGAAUCUCCCGCUGCCGGGGACGCGGUGCUCAGUCCUUGGCAGCUGCCCCAAUGUAUUUCUCCCGAGCCUUGAAUGCUGAGUGAUGAGGUUUGGGAGAGGGAUAACCCACAGGCUCUGUCUAAUCAGAGCGACUGUGGUGGCCUUGCUGAACCCUCCCGGCACAAUUAGGUAAUCACGUUGGCAGACAAGCCUGAUUCAUGUCGCUUUACCAUCAGCAAAGGGAUAUCUAUCACCCCUGCGACAGACCCGUUAUUGCCGCAAACCACUUCAGCCCAACCGGUUAAAAACCCCUUGUAAAAGCAAAAUAAAAAAAGGGGCUUGGACAUAUUUUAUGGCAAAUUAACUUCUAACGUAUUCUUUCCUGCCUCGUAUUAAGAUCCCACUCUCAGCUGACACCUGCAGCAAGGCCUGUGUUCCUCAUGGCAUGUAAGGGCUCAAGAUCUCUGCAGACACUGUGGGACAUUCAGGACAAUUCUGAUUUGCUCUCACUUCUCUCCAUUGGCUCCAGAGGAACCCAAGGUGAGGUUUUGGGUGGUUGUGAAGAGUCAGGAGUUGGACUUGAUGAUCCUUAUGGGUCCCUUCCAACAUGGGAUCUUCUGUCAUUCUAUGAUUCUUGUUCCAUGGACUGACCCUAUUCCUAUGAUGACAGCUUUCCAGGAAUGCCAAGGCAAAGGCACCCAAACUCAACCUGAAGCACCCAGCCUGCUGAUACCGAGCUUCUUUGGCUCUGUUCCCACUGGACCACCUAUGGAUGUCGAUGAAGACAACAAGGAGACUUAAUGGAUUCAAACAAGCUUUGGAUGAAUCCUUCAAAGCACCCUGGAAAUUCAGCUGUUUCCCCAGUUCUACUCUGCACAGAUCCACAGGUGGACCAGGAAUGGAUGGAGGAAUUAUAUUAGCCCCAGUGUGCAGUGCAGCACCCCUGCUCCUCAUCCAACAGAUCCUGAAGGGCCGUCCCCAAAUCUGUGGUUUUAUUGCUCUUCUGGAAUUGUACUCUGGACCUGAAGACUUCCAGGCAAAGCAUAGAGCUUUUCCAUGGGCUCCAGAGGGCUCCUCAGGGCUGAGCCAUUCCCAGUACCGCCCGUCCCUGACCUCAGACAAGGCUCCAAUUAGGACUUUCAGUUAUUUUUCUUUGAAACAAACACAGGGCAAUGGGGAAAAGCAUCCUUAUCAUCUGGUGAUAUUCACAUUUUUACUACAUUUUCUUUCAGUUCUGAUUUUUUUUUUUCCCAGAACCAGUUAAUCCAUUUCUUUUGGACUUGUACCUUCAAGGCAAGAGCUGCAGCACAACGUGCGGCCAAGCCAUUCCAGAAAAAUGCCUUCACUACAGAACAUGAACUUCCCAUUAUAGAGGCUGCAUAUGUGCUCUGAUUGAUCCCUAAACUGGCAUUUCAAUUUAUUUCCCACUGGAGGACUCAUUCAUUACAGAGAAAUAAGACUAUUAAAUGCAUGAUAAAGCACAUGCAUCAACAGACGAGAAUGGUGGUUACUUUACUGUACCUAUCUAAACAAUAGCUGAUAAAUAAAGCCAUUCAUGAUCACAUAGGACCUUUUAAAAUGAAUAAGGAAACAGUAAUAUGCUCAUUAUUAAAGCAGCUGAUUAAAAAAAAUAGCUUGCCAGCAUUAACACCACACACACUUUGCUGCUGCAUCCCUGGCUGUGGGACGGAGGCAGCUCGAAGGCACAGAUUGCGAGCAACCUGCCUGCAACCUGCCCAAGUCCCAGCAGCCUGCAGAUGUGUGCAGCUGUGCUGAUGUGGCAGCAGGCUCUUACCUCCAGCAGCAGGGAAAGAUGCCCAAAGGAGCCCAUGCAAGCUGCUUUUUUCAAGCUUCCAUCGUUUUUUCUUUAACUACUGCAUUGACCUUCUACCCAACAGCCUCUGGAGAGAAGCAGAAUAGUGGGGCAGGUGUAGAAUUCUUUAUACAUAUCAUAGAACCACAGAAUGGCUUAGGUUAGAAGGGACCUUAAAGAUCAUCGAGCUCCAACCCCAUGCAUAUGUACGUAUGCAUAUGGUUGGUUUCUUUUUUUUUUUUUUUUUGACCUGUCAAAAGGGGAAAGAUAGAGAUGGCAAAGAAAGACAAGACAUGGAGAAAGGAAAAUGAAGAGGAAAGGAGAAGUGGAUCUUUAUGAAAAUGAGGAGAUAGGUGUCCAUAAAGGCUCUGAAGCGGGACAUAAGAGCAGUGGCUUUGAAGUUUCUUUGCAAAUCAAACCAGGCUGGUCCUUUCUCUGCCCAUUUUUGAGGACACUGAACAGUCCCACCACUGGUACAACAACCCCAUAAAAAUCUACCAUCAGCUUUUUUUCUCUGUCCUUUUCCCCCACUUCAACCACAUCCUUAGACCUCCAAGAAGCCAAUGCCAGGCUAAGUAGUUGUGACAUAACUCAGCAGGUUUUCCUGAGCUCUAAUUGAAUUAUAAGCCAUCACUUUAUGGCCACAUGUAAAAAUCCCACAUGUUCCUUGCACAGCAUAGUCAGU
ensembl:lncRNA